GACGAACGCUGGCGGCGUGCUUAACACAUGCAAGUCGAACGGAAAGACGCCUUCGGGGGUACUCGAGAGGCGAACGGGGGAGUAACACGUGAGUAACCUGCCCUUGACUUCGGGAUAAAUUCAGGAAACUGGGGCUAAUACCGGAUAGGGAUCCUUGCUGCAAGGUGGGGGUUGGAAAGCUUCGGCGGUUUUGGAUGGACUUGCGGCUUAUCAGCUUGUUGGUGGGGUAGUGGCUUACCAAGGCGAUGACGGGUAGCCGGCCUGAGAGGGCGACCGGCCACCUUGAGACCGACGUGAGGCCGAGGUUCCGAAGGGUGGCAGAAGUGGGGAAUAUUGCACCAUCGGCGGCGGCCUGGUGCAGAAGGGCCGCGGGCGGGAUGACGGCCUUCGUGUUGAAAACCGCUUGUAGCAGGAGCGAAGCUUGUGGUGACGUUACCUGCAGAAGAAGCACCGGCUAACUACGUG
rnacentral:rRNA from 1 species